UACGAAGGAUGCAAGCGUUAUCCGGAUUCAUUGGGGUUAAAGGGAGCGUAGGCGGACUGGUAAGUCAGUGGUGAAAUCUCUCCGCUUAACUGAGAAACUGCCAUUGAUACUGCCGGUCUUGAGUACAGAUGAUGUGGGCGGAGUAUGACAUGUAGUGGUGAAAUACUUAGAUAUGUCAUAGAACACCGAUUGCGAAGGCAGCUCACAAAACUGUAACUGACGCUGAGGCUCGAAAGUGCGGGGAUCAAACAGG
rnacentral:rRNA from 1 species